UACGUAGGGGGCAAGCGUUGUCCGGAAUCAUUGGGCGUAAAGAGCGUGUAGGCGGCCCGGUAAGUCCGCCGUGAAAGUCCAGGGCUCAACCCUGGGAUGCCGGUCGAUACUGCCGGACUAGAGUUCGGAAGAGGCGAGUGGAAUUCCCGGUGUAGCGGUGAAAUGCGCAGAUAUCGGGAGGAACACCUAUGGCGAAGGCAGCUCGCUGGGACGUUACUGACGCUGAGACGCGAAAGCGUGGGGAGCAAACAGG
rnacentral:rRNA from 1 species